rnacentral:rRNA from 1 species
GACGAACGCUGGCGGCGUGCUUAACACAUGCAAGUCGAACGGUAAGGCCCUUCGGGGUACACGAGUGGCGAACGGGUGAGUAACACGUGGGUGAUCUGCCCUGCACUUCGGGAUAAGCCUGGGAAACUGGGUCUAAUACCGGAUAGAACCACUGCCUGCAUGGGUGGUGGUGGAAAGCUUUUGCGGUGUGGGAUGGGCCCGCGGCCUAUCAGCUUGUUGGUGGGGUGAUGGCCUACCAAGGCGACGACGGGUAGCCGGCCUGAGAGGGUGACCGGCCACACUGGGACUGAGAUACGGCCCAGACUCCUACGGGAGGCAGCAGUGGGGAAUAUUGCACAAUGGGCGCAAGCCUGAUGCAGCGACGCCGCGUGAGGGAUGACGGCCUUCGGGUCGUAAACCUCUUUCAGCACCGACGAAGCGCAAGUGACGGUAGUAGCAGAAGAAGGACCGGCCAACUACGUGCCAGCCGCCGCAGUAA